CACCAUUCUUUGUAUCUUCUGCUGUGAGCCUUGCCCAGAUCAGGAAGUUGCUAAGCCUAUCAUGAUAACUCCCUUCAUUUUCUUCGGUGGGCAGUUUUAAUCUUAUCCAUUGAAUCCUUGUAUUUUAGGAGUUGCAGGCCAGUCAUCAACUUUGUGCUGUGGAACACUUACAGUAGAACAAUUUUCAGUUUAUUUAGUAAAUGCAGCCUGGUAGCAAAUUGAAAUACGAAAGGAAAAAG